rnacentral:rRNA from 1 species
GACGAACGCUGGCGGCGUGCUUAACACAUGCAAGUCGAACGGAAAGGCCCUGCUUUUGUGGGGUGCUCGAGUGGCGAACGGGUGAGUAACACGUGAGUAACCUGCCCUUGACUUUGGGAUAACUUCAGGAAACUGGGGCUAAUACCGGAUAGGAGCUCCUGCUGCAUGGUGGGGGUUGGAAAGUUUCGGCGGUUGGGGAUGGACUCGCGGCUUAUCAGCUUGUUGGUGGGGUAGUGGCUUACCAAGGCUUUGACGGGUAGCCGGCCUGAGAGGGUGACCGGCCACAUUGGGAAUGAGAUACGGCCCAGACUCCUACGGGAGGCAGCAGUGGGGAAUAUCGCACAAUGGGCGGAAGCCUGAUGCAGCAACGCCGCGUGCGGGAUGACGGCUUUCGGGUUGUAAACCGCUUUCGCCUGUGACGAAGCGUGAGUGACGGUAAUGGGUAAAGAAGCACCGGCUAACUACGUG